GACGAACGCUGGCGGCGUGCUUAACACAUGCAAGUCGAGCGAUGAACCUUUCAUAGCACUCUUCGGGGCGUAUAUACAGUGGAUUAGCGGCGGACGGGUUCGUAACACGUGAGUAACCUGCCUUAGACAUUGCGCUAGCCUCUGGACACCAGGAUUAAUACCACUUAAAAUCAUAAUGUCACAUGUCAUACCGAUCUAUAGUCCGGUGGUCUAAGCUGGCCUCGCGUCGCAUUAGCUAGUUGGUAGUGGAAAAGCCUACCAAGGCGACGUAGGGUAGCCGGACUGAGAGACUGAGCGGCGACAUUGGAACUGAGAAGCGGUAGAAACUCCUACGAGAGGCAGCAGUGGGGAAUAUUGCACAAUGGAGGGAGCUCUGAUGCAGCGACGCCGCGUGAACUAAGAAGGUUUUCGAGUCGUAAAGGUCUUUUAGAUGGGAAGAUAAUGACGGUACCAGAAGAAAAAGCCCCGGCUAACUACGUG
rnacentral:rRNA from 1 species